rnacentral:rRNA from 1 species
CAGUAGCCGCGGUAAUACGUAGGGUGCGAGCGUUAAUCGGAAUUACUGGGCGUAAAGCGUGCGCAGGCGGUUUUGUAAGACAGGCGUGAAAUCCCCGGGCUCAACCUGGGAAUGGCGCUUGUGACUGCAAAGCUAGAGUGCGGCAGAGGGGGAUGGAAUUCCGCGUGUAGCAGUGAAAUGCGUAGAUAUGCGGAGGAGCACCGAUGGCGAAGGCAAUCCCCUGGGCCUGCACUGACGCUCAUGCACGAAAGCGUGGGGAGCAAACAGGAUUAGAUACCCCAGUAGUCCCUGUCUCUUAUAC